rnacentral:rRNA from 1 species
UACGUAGGGUGCAAGCGUUGUCCGGAAUUAUUGGGCGUAAAGAGCUCGUAGGCGGUCUGUCGCGUCUGCUGUGAAAACCUAGGGCUUAACUCUGGGCGUGCAGUGGGUACGGGCAGGCUAGAGUGCGGUAGGGGAGACUGGAAUUCCUGGUGUAGCGGUGAAAUGCGCAGAUAUCAGGAGGAACACCGGUGGCGAAGGCGGCUUUCUGGAACGCAACUGACGCUGAGACGCGAAAGCGUGGGGAGCAAACAGG